rnacentral:lncRNA from 1 species
AUCUGGGAAAAUUCAGGAAAAAUUAUCCCAGAAAAUCCAGGAAAAUAAUCUGGGGAAAUCAGGCAGGAAAAUCAUCUGGGAAAAUCCAGGAAAAUAAUACAGGAAGAUCCAGGAAAAUCAUCUGGGAAAAUUAUCCUGGAAAAUUCAGGAAAAUAAUACAGAAAAAUCAUCCAGGAAAUUCUGGGAAAAUCAACCAGGAAAAUCAUCUGGGAAAAUCUGCCGGGAAAAUAAUCUGGGAAAAUCCAGGAAAAUUCAGGAAAAUGGUCUGGGAAAAUUCAGGAAAAUUGUCUGGGAAAAUCCAGGGAAAUAAUGCAGGAUAAUCUGGAAAAAUUAUCCUAAAAAAUAAUCUGGACAUUAUCCAGGAAAAUAAUCUGGAAAGAUCUGGGAAAAUCAGUCAGGAAAAGAAUCUGGGAAUACCGGGAAAAUAAUCCGGGAAAAUCCAGGAAAAUAAUCUGGAAAAAUCUGGGAAUACCAGGAAAAUAAUCCGGGAAAAUCCAGGAAAAUCGUGUGGAAAAAUUCAGGAUAAUAACCCAGGAAAUUCUAGGAAAAUCAACCAGGAUAAUCAUCCAAGAAAAUCCAGGAAAAUCAUCCCAGAAAAUCAUUUGGGACAUCUGGGAAUACUGGAAAAUCAUCCAGGAAAACAAUCCAGGAAAAUAAUAUAGGAAAAUGUGGAAAAAUCAUCCUGGAAAACAUGGGAAAAUGAUUUGGGAAAAUCCAGGAAAUUCUGGGAAAAUCAACCAGAAAAAUCAUCUGGGAAUACUGUGAAAAUCUAGGAAUUAGGAAAUUAUUAGGAAUAAUUAGGAAAAUCAAUUAGGAAAAUCAAUAAGGAAAAUCAUGUAGGAAUACUGGGAAAAUAAUUCUGGAAUAUCCUGAAAAAUCAUCUGGGAAAAUCACCCAGAAAAACAAUCCAGGAAAAUCAUUUUGGGCCCCAAAUUCUGGCACAAAUUAAAACCUAAAACUGUGACUCCUCCCCCAGCUCGUUAAUUUAAACAUUAAUUUAAAUGCUAAUUUUUAAUAUUAAUUAAAAAUAUCCCCUAAAAAGAAGGAUAUAAUUAAUGAACUAAAAAUGAAGCAGAGGCUUAAUUUGGCAGAGCUUGUGCCCCAAUUAAGGGGUGAAACUGUGGCUCCUCCUCGGUAAUUAAUGAAAAUAAUUAAUUAGAAAUAGAUAAAAAUAAUCAGGAAAAGGAAUGGGCUACAAAAGCAUUCUAAUUAAAAAGAUUCUUUGUUUUGCUUUGACACAGGUCUGGUGCACCCCAAAUUAAUGUAUCAAACCUAAUUAACCAGCUUUAAAAUUAAUUAGAUAUUAAAUAUAAAUAUAUUAAAAUAAUGAACCAGCUUUAAAAUUAAUUAGAUAUUAAAUAUAAAUAUAUUAAAAUAACGAAAUAAUUGAUGAACUAUAAAUGGAUCCAAACUAAGCAAAGUCUUAAUUUGGACUCAAACCUGCCCCAAUUAAGGGGUGAAACUGAGGCUCCUCCCCCAGCUAAUUGAUUGAUUAAUUAACUAGAACUACAUAAAAACAAUCAGUAAAAUUAAUGAAUUAUAAAUGCAUCAGAAAUAAACAAAGCCCUGAUUUGGCUCUGCUGGGGAGA